rnacentral:rRNA from 1 species
AUCUACCUAGUAGUGGGGGAUAGCUCGGGGAAACUCGAAUUAAUACCGCAUACGACCUACGGGAGAAAGGGGGCAGUUUACUGCUCUCGCUAUUAGAUGAGCCUAAGUCGGAUUAGCUAGAUGGUGGGGUAAAGGCCUACCAUGGCGACGAUCUGUAGCUGGUCUGAGAGGAUGAUCAGCCACACCGGGACUGAGACACGGCCCGGACUCCUACGGGAGGCAGCAGUGGGGAAUAUUGGACAAUGGGGGAAACCCUGAUCCAGCCAUGCCGCGUGUGUG